rnacentral:rRNA from 1 species
GACGAACGCUGGCGGCGUGCUUAACACAUGCAAGUCGAACGGAAAGGCCCUGCUUGCAGGGUGCUCGAGUGGCGAACGGGUGAGUAACACGUGGGUGAUCUGCCCCUUACUUUGGGAUAAGCCUGGGAAACUGGGUCUAAUACUGGAUAGGACCAUGCUGUAGGUGGUGUGGUGGAAAGAUUAGUUUCGGUAAGGGAUGAGCUCGCGGCCUAUCAGCUUGUUGGUGGGGUAAUGGCCUACCAAGGCGUCGACGGGUAGCCGGCCUGAGAGGGUGGACGGCCACAUUGGGACUGAGAUACGGCCCAGACUCCUACGGGAGGCAGCAGUGGGGAAUAUUGCACAAUGGGCGCAAGCCUGAUGCAGCGACGCCGCGUGGGGGAUGACGGCCUUCGGGUUGUAAACUCCUUUCAGCCAUGACGAAGCCCUUGUGGUGACGGUAGUGGUAGAAGAAGCGCCGGCUAACUACGUGC